UGGGGAAUAUUGGACAAUGGGCGAAAGCCUGAUCCAGCCAUGCCGCGUGAGUGACGAAGGCCUUAGGGUUGUAAAACUCUUUCGUCGGGGACGAUAAUGACGGUACCCGAAGAAGAAGCUCCGGCUAACUUCGUGCCAGCAGCCGCGGUAAUACGAAGGGAGCUAGCGUUGUUCGGAAUCACUGGGCGUAAAGCGCAUGUAGGCGGAUAGUUAAGUCAGGGGUGAAAUCCUGGGGCUCAACCCCAGAACUGCCUUUGAUACUGGCUGUCUCGAGGUCGAGAGAGGUUGGUGGAAUUCCUAGUGUAGAGGUGAAAUUCGUAGAUAUUGGGAAGAACACCAGUGGCGAAGGCGGCUAACUGGUCCGGUACUGACGCUGAGGUGCGAAAGCGUGGGGAGCAAACAGGAUUAGAUACCCGUGUAGUCCCUGAGCGGGCUGGCAAGGCGCAU
rnacentral:rRNA from 1 species